UAUGUAUUGUCUUGGCACGGCUCGUGCUCCCCCUCCCUUCGCUGCUAAAACUGCAUGCCGUAGUAGACUGCUUUGUACUACGAACUACGAAGGACAACAUUCGGCUGGUGCCAAGCAGCUUUUUUUUUUCGCUUCCCUAAAGUAACUUCCACUGUAAACAGUACGGUCCUAAAACUGACCUGAGGGACGGCCGGGACAAAAGAGGGGGAAGGGGUGGGCUGGGGGCAGAGCGCAGCUCUUCAGACGAGGCAGGACAGACACGAACAGCGCGGUCAGGAGCACCGCUCUCGACUUCGCCCGAUCCGCCUUUGAAGUUUUCCACCCCUCGACUUGAAGUGAGAUCGAUUACAGAAGAACAACAGGGACAAAGAAUCCGCUGCUGUACGUGCAGCCACUUUCCCACGAUCGGGCAGCCAGCUCGACAGCGGCGAGCGAUCACCGCUUCCCCUCCGCCCCUCCUUUGCCACCAUUCAGAAAACGCGCAGCCCCCGCCCGCUUCGCCGGGGAGAGCCGGAGGAGGCGUGGGGGUGAGGGAAGGCCGCCCGAUUGAAUCGCGGUGGUUCAGAAGGAAGGGACCACGAGCGGGGCGCGGUGAAAAGGCAGCUCGGAGUGCUUGGAGGGGGUGGAGGGAGGGUGUGUGGAAGGGGGGAGCAGAUAAAUGCAGCCCCUCGGGGCCGCUGCUCACUUCGGCCCGGCCGCGGGCGGCACUUGGCGGCGCUGAGGGCGCGGGGAGGCGGCUCUUCCCCUCCUGGCCCGCGCUGAAUGGGGAGAUUUGUUGUUGGAACUCGGGUUGAACCCAUCACAUGUCGGCUGGCUUUUCCAAGAAAAAGAGAAGCGGUUAAUUUGUCACCGGGCAUCCACUCCAUUCAUUAAAAAAAAAAAAAAAAAAAAAAAAGAAAGAAAGAAAGAAAGAAAGAAAGAAAGGAAAAAAAAAAAAAAAGGGAAAAAAGGCGGCUCGGAGCCGGGCUGCGGAGACCCCCAAGAAGGCGGCGGUGAGGGGGAUCCCCUCCUGCCCGCCCCGCGGUGCCGC
ensembl:lncRNA